rnacentral:rRNA from 1 species
GACAGAGGAUGCAAGCGUUAUCCGGAAUGAUUGGGCGUAAAGCGUCUGUAGGUGGCUUUUUAAGUCUGCCGUCAAAUCCCAGGGCUUAACCCUGGACAGGCGGUGGAAACUACCAAGCUGGAGUACGGUAGGGGCAGGAGGGUCGAAUUUCCGGUGGAGCGGUGAAAUGCGUAGAGAUCGGAAAGAACACCAACGGCGAAAGCACUCUGCUGGGCCGACACUGACACUGAGAGACGAAAGCUAGGGGAGCGAACAGG